AUAAAACCCAAAACUCUCUCCUCCCUUCUCUUUCAAUCUCACGUAAAAACAAAAACAAAAAGAAACAAAAAUCCUCUUAUCUCCUACUCAUUUCACGUGAAAACAAAACUCAAACCCUCAACUCCUCCUUGCCUGCUACUGUUCACGGCUGCCGCCACCACCCACCGGCGGCCACCCUCACCGCAGCCUUCGCGCCGUCGCACGCAACCACCACUGCCGCCGGUCAGCAGCAGCCGCCGCUGCUCUCCUCCGACUCUCGGCUUCCUCCACCGUCCAGCUUCUUGCUGACCACCCAUCUCCUUCGUCGGCCUCGUUCUCUCUCCUCUAUUCACUGCUCCACACGGGCCAUCACCACCUUCGGCAACCAGCCCAGCCGCAACCACCGCGCCCAUCCGCGUGUCCUAGCUCGCCUGAACACCGCCGCUGUCGCGCCCUGUCCACCGGCCAACAUCUCAUUCCCUCUUUUUGGCAGAGAAAUCUCUUUAGGCGACUUUUGAAAGUGUUAAAGUGGCCUUUAAAUUUGUUUACACAAGUCUCUAAAGAUCGAUAAGCGUUGCUCAUCUACAGGUUUGAAGAUGAUGCAUCAUUGGGAUCGGAAUUAGAGAGCUUGUACUUAUUUUGAUUUUCUAAGUGACUUGGGUUUGUUAAAUUAGACUUUAAACUUGUCGUUCUAUCUACAUUAUUUUAUUUUCGUUGAUUGGUUUUGGGAAUUAACUUUGUAAUUGAUUACUUAUAAACCUAAAGUUAGUUUAUGUUUUUCGCUGCAAAAUUCUGAAU